CUCCAGGCGCACGGCGUACGGCGAGUCAAUGAUACGACGAUCAUCAGUCGAUUAUCGCGCGUAAAAGAAAGUGAAUGUUUUUCGCGAUGUGUCUAAUAGUGUCUAUUUUAAAACUGUGUAAAUUAUUACAUUCAGUGGAUGUGCGAGUGUAUACAUCAGUUACUUGUUAUCAACUAUCGUGUUGCGACUUCGGAAUGUGCACUCUUCAGGUGGAAUCCAUUCAGAAUACACUGCUCUGUCUUUUAAAAAGCACCAGGCCGCUUCAACUUAUAGAGGUGCUCGUGGCAGGUACAAUGGGUCGAGCCUGGAGAAGAUCUGCGUAGCAGCAGUAGCAGCAACACACCGAGUACGAUCAGGACGCUGAACACGGCAAGAGUCAACUUUUAACGCAACAGUCCUAUCCGCAAUUUUGAUCAACAAGCAGCGAAUACGACGAUGAAGCUGGGGAGCCAUACGCGGAGCGUAUUAUAUUUGUCUGAAUCCAUCGAGAGGGCAUCGAAUCCUCCUAACGCGUUACUCGCGUAUAUCAGUACCAUUUCCUCUUCCGCGGCUCUUUUGGACCAUCCUCUUCACAAUCUCCCCCUUCUCUCUUCCCUUCUACCUCUUCCUCGGUUCUCGCGUUCGCGCAGGUCUCGAUUAAUUAAUUCCUACCUCAUUAGCAAACGCGGCCAACGUUCUCCUCUUCUGCGCACGCUGAAAGUGGCGGCCAGAUAUCGCGAAGCUUACGCGCCGCAAAUACAGGCAGGCGGAGAGCAGAGAGGCCUUCGAUACAUAUUGCAUAUUAUUAAUAACAACUGUUUGCGGACGGCUUUUCUGUUUUCCCCCCUCUCCUCUUCCCGCUCGUUGCCAAUUUGUCGACGUAGAUAUUGGAUUCAGCCGCGUUAACAACGCCGCAUUAUCGGCGCGGCCGGUGAUAAAAGACCGCGCCGCGCGACGUUCCAGCCGGCCAGCGGUUUGGACCCCGAUGUUUUUCCAAGGGCGGUCGUUAUCCCCUUGUAAUCGUACCCGUGUCUCGUUAACGGAACGAGUCUAGAUUUUACUAUCUCCUCGCGCGCGCUCUCCGGCGCGACCAAACUUUUUUUUUGUCUCGGACGCUAUCGCUCUGCUCGCUGUGUCAUUGUACAUUUAGGAGAAGUAAGAUUUCUUCUAACGAAGCGUUAGAGUCAUUAAUUUUAAUAGCAAAUUGCAGCAGAUAUUGGAGUCGAACUGAUCGUCUCGCAAUAAUUUCAAAUCAAGACAGAAUUUUUAUAACCGUUUUAAGAUAAUAUUUUCACGUAAUGUUUGUGUACUUUGAUAAAUUUACUUCUAAUAUUUGUGUCUUAAGUAAUUUCGUUGUACGAUGGUAAUGCAUAAUUUUCCAGUGAUAAUUCAAAUGAAAUUUUAAAUUAAAUUGAAACAUUAUUUUCAAAUUAAAAUCUCGAUGCUUCGAACGAUAACUAAUAAUAUCCGCGAUCCGGCAUAUCGUUAAAAAUACGACAUGCUCCGAUUUUCGCCUUAUUUUAAGACAUCUUAUUUCGGGAGUUUCGUUCUUUCGUCGUUUAAGCGUGACAUAAUUACUACGAUUUUCCGCGAAAUGCGACCGUUCUUAUUUUUACAUCCGUUGCCUUUUAUACGCGCGAGAGCGCUCGUUACUGAAUAAAACGCUCUUGUACGUCCGGUCAACAAAGCCUGAGAAAUUACGCGUUUGCAAACGAACGCUCGCACUCGGACGAAAAUGAAGGAUAGAAAAAGAGAGGGAAAGAAAAAGAGAAAGCCCCAACGGUCGAAAAUGGUGGAAAAAUGUCCGAGAAGUUUUAGUUAAAUUACUUAGACCGUGGGAUUGCCCUGUCGGACGUAUACGACAGGGGAUAGUCUCAAGUCAAAAAGAGUAGGAGAGGGGGAGAGAGAGAGAGAGAUCGUAUGUAUGUGUGUGCAUUUAUGCGAGAGUAUACGAGGAGUUAGAGGGAGGUGAGCUAUCCCCAGCUAAGAGGGUUUGCUUGUAUCCCCCGAGAUGCGCAUACGUCAUCCGAUUAAAAUUAGUAAUUAGCUAAUUAACUUAAGCGCGCAGCACUCCGGACUAAGUAAGUUGACCGCCUGAUUAUGAUGCAUCGCUUCUGAGUUCGGUUUCGCGGGAAAAAGGCGCGCACCGCUAAAAAAUCCACCGUAGCACAACGAGAAAAGAUGAGACGGAGGAGGAAGUCUCUUUUACGUCGAAUAUCUCAGAAAAUCCUUCUUCGGAAAAUCACUCUUUAUUUUUCCAUGUACUCAUAAUAGACAUACCAUUUAUAAAUAUAAAGCUAGGAGAAAAUAUUAUAUUUCAAAAAUUGGAUCGCAAAUGACGCAGUACCUAAGAUAAUUUUAAGUAAUAUUGAUUCGCUGUAUCGAUUCCAAAGUAAUGGAUAUGGUCCAAAAGCCUUUUAAGAAUAUAUUCAUUGAAGAUAAAAGUAGCAAUAAAAUUAUUUAUCGGGUGUGAUGUCUUUUGAUUUGAUCAUCCCGCAAAGAAGAGUAUAACUUUUGGUCAGCAAAACGCUCCGAAAGUGCGAACAUUCCGCUCGGGAUUAAGAAAUAAUAAGAGAAAUGGAGAUCUUUUGCCACAUGUGUCACGACGGCGCUUCGACAAGGAUGCGAAAUUGACGUAUUAUAUGCACGAGAUGAUAUCUAUGGGGAGAGUCGAUCGUAUCUUCGCAUUCGAGACGGUGGUCGCGGAGGAGGGACGCGAACGCCGAGAGUGAUCCAGAAGUGCUUUCUCGUGUUCCUUAACUAACCGUUCGCCGGUCGUCCUCCGGACGUCUCAUCGGUCGCACUUGCCUGCACCAAGGAGAAAACGAUGGAGAAAGAGAGAAGAGCGGUGGCGACAACGACGACGAGGACGACGAUGGCAACACCACUAAGGACUGUCUCUUCACCCACACCCUCAUCUUCUCGACGUUCUUAUCCUCCCCACCGUCCCCACAGCUGUACGGUUAUCCUAGGAAAAACUUCGCGAAUGACUUCGAGACGUCGCAGGUAUGCUCUCACCUCGGCUAUCGCUCGCAAUUUGCAAUGACCGCGUGCAAAGUACGCGAGCAGUAUUUUCGCAGAACUCUCGCCUUAUACAGGAAAAAAACUAUAUGUACAAACUUUGGAAUUGUGUUGAGAAUUCAAAAACUUAGAAGAGAAAGUUUCAUGGCUCUCUCUUUCGAAAUGUUGAAUUUUAAAAGUUCCUUUUCGUAUUGUAAGUCAUUGAGAAGAUUCUUC